CCUACGGGUGGCAGCAGUGAGGAAUAUUGCUCAAUGGGGGCAACUCUGAUCCAGCCACGCCGCGUGAGUGACGAAGGUUUUCGGCAUGUAAAGCUCUUUCUGUAGAGAAGAAAAUGACGGUACCUGACUAAGAAGCCGCGGCUAACUACGUGCCAGCAGCCGCGGUACUACGUAGGGGGCAAGCGUUAUUCGGAUUUACUGGGCGUAAAGGGAGUGUAGGCGGUUUAGUAAGGUAGGCGUGAAAGGCCAGGGCUCAACUCGGGAACUGCCUUUGAAACUGGCGGACUAGAGUGAAGGAGAGGUAAGCGGAAUGCCCAGGGUAGCGGUGAAAUGCGUAGAUAUUGGGAAGAACACCAGUGGCGAAGGCGGCUUACUGGAGGUGAACUGACGCUGAGGCUCGAAAGCGUGGGGAUCAAACAGGAUUAGAUACCCGAGUAGUC
rnacentral:rRNA from 1 species